AGAGCCGGGUGGAAGAAGCACAUGUUAAACUCUGUAUGCAGUCCAGUUUUCCAACGAGCAGUCGGCCACAAAGCCAGAUCUUCCUCCACAGGCCGUGAGACCAGGAUGAGCGUCCCUCAGCAAGAGCCGGCUGAGAAGCCCCCCUCCGCCGUCACACUGACCCCAGUCCCCACCCCGGCAGUCAACACCCCGACGCCAAACGUCAGCCCUCCGCUGACACCCGUCACAGAUGAGCUGGAAUGCCAGAUAUGCUACCAGCGCUACAACGCCCACAACCGCAGGCCCAAGAUCCUGGACUGCCUCCACCGCGUGUGUGCCCGCUGCCUCAACAGGAUCCUGGACCUGGGCGACGGCUCCGGCCGCAUCUCCUGCCCCUUCUGCCGCCACGAAACCGAGGUCAGCGAGUACGAGGUGUCCGGACUCCCUGACGACUCCAACAUCAUGUGCCGUCUGGCCGUCAGGGACAAGUCGUGGAGCUCUGACAAUGCCAAGGAGGUGGUGCUGUCCCCGAAAAGCCUUUCGUCCGACUCUCCCUCCCGCGACUCCUCCAACUGCCUGGUCAUCACCAUCAUGGAGGUGCAGAGGGAUGCGGGCUCGCCCAGCCUCGGCCUGAGCAGCUCAGACUAUUACCCGGACCACAGCAUGGACUCCAUCUCUGUGGCCUCCAACGGGCCCGAGGUACAAGACGCCCUGUCCAGGUUCUGUACCCAUGUACCCAGAAUCUUGGUGUGGCUCCUGGGCUUCUUCUACUUUGGCUCGCUGCCACUGGGCAUCUACCUGCUGGUGAUCCAGAGGGUGUCUCUGGGCAUAGUGUGUGUCAGCCUGGUCCCGUCUAGCCUCACCGUGUGUCUGGUCUAUGGGUUCUGCCAGUGUCUCUGCCAGGGAAUGUGUGAUUGCUCCUCCAGGGGCUGACUGGCUGGUUGACUGACUGGAUGGCUGGUUGACUGAAUGGGUUGACAGACUGGCUUGCUGACUGGCUGGUUGACUGAGUGGCUUUCUGACUGGCUGGUUGACUGGUUGAUUGGCUGGUUGACUUGCUGGCUGACUUGAUAAAGUCGAGACUGAAGAGAGGUUGUGAUACGCUAAUCAACAAGUCAACAUCCUUAAUGAUGUCAAUCAGAACAGCGUAAAAACUAUGAAAAUGGGUGGGGAUGGCUGUCCGGCUGGAGAUGGGUGGUGGCGAAGGUGGAGGAGAACCAUGGAUGGGGCACCUGUCCUCUUCUGUCCUGGCUACCUCCCUAUACCAAGAAAUGACAUACAGGCUUUUUACUAAACAGGAGAUAUAGGCAGUACUAAACAGGAGAUCAAGGCUCAAAUAAGGCUCCCUUAUCGGUGCCACCAUGGCGUCCUUUACAGUCCAAAUGGAUCCGUGGAUUUACAGGACUAUCUCCAUACAUGGCUGUGUAGGGCAGGAGGACGCUGAAGACCAGCAGAGGUGGAGAAGAUUGGACGGUAGGUCACAGGGUCCUGAAGUGUUUUCAAGACAAAAUGGAUUCACCAGGUGUGUGAGAGAGUCUGGUGACCACCAGGACCACAAAUGUCUUCACGUUGACUCAACGGCCUGACGACUCGGAGUGGCGACACAAACCAAUGUUGGCCUAAGAGCUCGCAUGCAUCAAGUCCCUCUCUGUCUCAGACCUGUCCUGCUCUCCUGUUUGUCGACGAGAACAGUGUCCGAUGACUCCUCAAGGACAAAGCCCCAAUAAGAACCUUAGUCAACAUCCUAAAUAAAACCCUCUCCUCUUUGUAUUCUAGUGCAAUUCUAUUUAAAUCUGGCCCUCCAAGCCGGUUCCACUCCAUUAUUUCAUUCCAACCCCCUAAUCAGGGACUUAAAUAGCCCGUGGACACCAGGUGGGCAAUUAAUGAUGAGGUGGAACAGAAGGCUUAGUCCCUGAUUAGGGGGUUGCAAGAGAAAAAUGGAGAUUUGAAUCACACUGGUCUAGAGCACUCGUUUGACCAGAGCUCUGGUAACCUAGUUACAUUCUAUCAGUAGUACAUGUUUGUCAGGUGUUACUGUGGAUGUGGAGACCAUCAAGUGGCUGUUGUAUUGUGUUCUGCUGCCUACUCUUGUCUGUCAUUCCACUGAUGAAUGACAGGCCUUCCCGACUCGGAACUACCCACUGCACCGAAACAUAUUAAAUCAAGCUGUUUCCAUCUAAUCUAGAUCAAACAUGUCAAUGUGGCAAUGUUUAAACAACAUCCACAACUGAUUCAUGGUGGAGGGGUAUUUUCUCAUUUUCACCAAACGUUUAGCCUAAGUCCAAGGACAGGCAUAUUUGCUGUUCAUGUCAGUUAAUUUACAGAACGUAAAUUUAAACUAGUUAACAUUAUGUCUGUGCUACGUGGUUACACCAGCAAUCGGUCUGAAGACUUUGUGCCCUGUGAUGGAAAAAGGCAAGAGAUUCCUAGCUGUGCCGACAGCGUUCAUCUUUCCGGAACACGACAGACUGACUGGCAACACACAGGGGAUGUGAUAAACUACUGAAAUAAAUGAGGAAAUUCCUCAUAAAUUAUGAGGAAAUUGCUUCUUUCUUUCUUUUUAUCUUUAAAACAACAUACGUAAUGGAUUAUUUUUGGUUCUUUUCCCCCAGGAUUUAGACAUCAAAAGCCCACUUAAUUUCAGGAGGAUAAACUUCCUCAAAAAUAACGUAAGCUGCUAGGCUGUAAAUCAUCAAGAAUAAUGUUAGCUUUAAGUCUGUGAUACAACAGACCAUACUUCCCAAAAGCACUAGAACUCAUCUAGUACACUUCUACUUACAUAUAUUCUUUAUGUAAGGACUGUAUAGGUAAUAGCGUGCCUUUUGGAAUGCAUCAGCUGUCCAGGUCCUUCAAACCUUUGACCUCCUCUUGUCUCUCUCCUCCCCUCCUCGGGGACCACCUGAUCUGAUUGACGUGGCAGAACAAUCUCAGCUUAUUUUAAAAAAGCUGGGGUUGCCAUGACAACACGACAACGGUUUCCAGUUUUUACGUGCUAACAGGCGAUAACAGGUUUCUGCCAACCUGGUGUGGUGAUGAUGCCAGUCGUUCUGAAGCCGUAGACCCCCUCUUUAAACCAGUGGCCCUCAUCACAGCCACUUCAAUAUGGAGCCUGGCCCCAGCAUCGAAGAGACACUAGUCUAAAUAUAACGUGUCUGAAAUCUCCUUCCCUCUCAGAAGCCAGACCGUCCAGACUAAUUCAGAGGACAAGACAGGGUGAGGUCACUUUUGGAGAGCGGUGUGUUUUUGGAGGACCUGGGAAGCUCCAGUGUGGUGAUCAUGUGACUAGGGUGAACAGUAAAGGGAAUAGCGUGCCAUUUUGGACCAAUAAUGUACCAUGUUAAUAUUUUUGUUCAUCCUGACACUGAACUAGGUGCAUUUUAUUUUACAGGUUUUAAUUGGCGUAGCCUGUUUGUAAUAGUUGCCUGUCUGAUUUAUGGGUUUAAUAAAGUGUUUCAUUUAA